CCGGGUUCCGCAGCCGGCUCUGUGGCGCAAUGGAUAGCGCAUUGGACUUCUAGCUGAGCCUAGUGUGGUCAUUCAAAGGUUGUGGGUUCGAGUCCCACCAGAGUCGAAUUUUGAUGGCUCCUACUCCCUGACUUUCACCUGCGUGUUUUAAGGACUCCAGGACCUAUCUAACAAAUAAGGUUCAGAACGAAAAUCAUAAGUCACACCCAACUUUGCUGCGACACAGCCAUAAACCUGGUGUCUAGGUGACUACGAGAAAUCCUUUCUCGUACCAUGGUGUCUUGUGAGCAGCCUGGCACACCUGUUGGCACAAAGGACACGGAUUUGGAGGCCCUUAGUUAACUUCACCAUCUAUGAUCUCUGGUCCCUGCAACAAAUCAGUUAACCUAUAUUUGUCAUGCCA
rnacentral:tRNA from 1 species